rnacentral:rRNA from 1 species
CAGCCGCCGCGGGAAUACCGAGGGUGCGAGCGUUAAUCGGAUUUACUGGGCGUAAAGCGUGCGUAGGCGGCUUUUUAAGUCGGAUGUGAAAUCCCUGAGCUUAACUUAGGAAUUGCAUUCGAUACUGGGAAGCUAGAGUAUGGGAGAGGAUGGUAGAAUUCCAGGUGUAGCGGUGAAAUGCGUAGAGAUCUGGAGGAAUACCGAUGGCGAAGGCAGCCAUCUGGCCUAAUACUGACGCUGAGGUACGAAAGCAUGGGGAGCAAACAGGAUUAGAUACCCCCGUAGUCCCUGUCUCUUAUAC